UUUCUGUGAAGAUAACUUUGUCCAGUUCUGCUACUGAAUGAAAGUGAUGCUACUGAAGACUCAGAGAAA